AAUAGUUUCCUAGCCCUUGAAGUCAUUCCCCCCCCCCCCCCCCCCCCCGCCUCAGGACUCGGGGACAGCAUUUGUGGUGGCAGCAGCAGGCUAGACAACAACUUCCGGUGGCCUCCCCAAGUCACUUGACUUGGGCGCACUGGUACCCGCAGAGCACUUUGGCCAAGCUGUUGUUCCUGCGUUGCUGGUGAAGCCUGGGGUGCCAGGAGUACCUCAAGAGAAAGGAGAGCUGUUAAGAGACAACAGAGAGUUUCCCUAAGCAGGCAGAUGGAGUUCAGAGCCCAAGAUCUGGAAUGUGGACCUGACAAAAUGAAGACUCUUCCUUCUUCUCAAGAAACGCCAAACAAAGCAGAAUCAGAAAGACCUAAGGAACCUCACCUAGAAGAGCUGAAAAUGAAAAAAUCAUUGGCGAAUAAGCUCAGAAAUCUCCACAGGAUGAAUGAGAGACUUGCAGAGGUCAUCAACCCCAAACUCCUGGUGGAGAGACAGCAUAGAGGACCUGUACUCAGCUCUCUGGCCCCAGAGCCAGCCCCAGACCACUCAGGCUGGAAAUCUUCCUAACAGGCUUCGGUGUGACACCUGUGAAAGUCACGGCUGGCAGGUGUCAGCCUGGACCCCAGAGGGGACGGACCUUACUCGAAGCAUCCAGAAGCUUCCAUCAGGACAAGAACAGGUGCAGCCUUGCAGCAACUUUUCAAGGCCUGCGACGAAUUUAGUGCCAGCUACUUAGCUUAUGAAGGGCAUCGGGUACUUGAGUUUUAGAGGUGUUUUCACAAUAACAUUUUGCAAGAAAAAUUAACAGCUAUCUUUGUGUCCUAGAGCAUCUAUAACCCAGAAUAAAACUCCAGGUAUAGAAGGCACACUAAACAAAGACAGCCCUGAAUGGGUCCCUAUGGAGGAUAGUACUUUUCCACCCUGUGAGAAGUUUCUCUGUGCUUUCUUUGCCUGCUCUGACUUCAGCAGCAAAAACCCCAAGUUCCCACACCCGGACACUUCACUACCUUUUGAAGCUCCUGCCCCAGCAAGUAUGAGUCAAUCAUGAAUAGCGAACAUUUGAGCUCAGAAGAGACACAAGAGUAACAGAUCUUGUUCUUGGCACCCAGUGGUUGCUAUCAUCACCUCUUUCUGUCCAAGGCCACAGGGACCGGGAGAUGUUCUGUAUGUCCACAUGGUUAUUGACAAACAGGUGUCUUCAUAUUUACGCGCGGUCAGGGCCAUCACUUCUGACUCGGGUGCUUUCAGGGUAACAUCAGUCAAACAAGUCAGGCAAAACCCUCUUCUUUUUCUACAAAGCACUGAUGGCUUCCUGUGAUUUCUGAGGAGUUAAGCUAGGAGUGAUGCCACUCUCGAUAUACACUCUUCCAGAGGACAGACAGGGAACCCAGCCACCCUCUCCUCAAAUUCUCCUCAAAUCCCACCAAUCUUGAUGCCACCCCAGCAACAGACAUUUCAGGAAAGCAAAGUUACAGGUCACUCUGAAUGUAGCAGUCAAAAUCCGGAGACCAACAUGAGCUGUUGAAGAACCUGGGAUUUUGUGGUAGCACCCCCCCCCCCAGCUCUCACUCACUGCGUUAUGCAGACUUCCUGUUUUGUCUCAUCUGAAUAAAAUCAUGCUCCCCAAACAAAGAGUGUUUUGGAGGCUUAAGCUGUUUGCUGAAAACAGCGAACCACCAUGGUUAUCAGAUUAUUCAAAGCAGCCUGAGAAUUUAAAAUUUAAACAUUAGAUUUCUCUGAGUGCUGGCCUUGCUCUACUGACGUGUUUUUGGACUCGGUUAUAUACAGUUUGUGCCAAUGGACCACAUGCACAGAAAGAGUGACCUCAUUCUUCUAGUGGAGAUAAAAGGAAGAUAACAGAUCACAGUAUAAAAAGCAAAAAUGUCAUCUAUCUUGUCAAAAACAAUCUCUUUCUCUACAAGG